rnacentral:rRNA from 1 species
UACGUAGGGGGCAAGCGUUGUCCGGAUUUACUGGGCGUAAAGAGCGUGUAGGCGGCCACGCAGGUCCGUUGUGAAAACUGGAGGCUCAACCUUCAGACGUCGACGGAAACCGUGUGGCUAGAGUCCGGAAGAGGAGAGUGGAAUUCCUGGUGUAGCGGUGAAAUGCGCAGAUAUCAGGAAGAACACCAAUGGCGAAGGCAGGUCUCUGGGCCAUAACUGACGCUGAGAAGCGAAAGCAUGGGGAGCGAACAGG